rnacentral:ncRNA from 2 species
UUCUUAUCUAGAGAGGUGGAGGGACUGGCCCGGUGAAACCUCGGCAACCAUUGGAGACUACAUCCAAACGGUGCCAAUUCCAACAGGAUUUAUGUCCUGAAAGAUAAGGA